UAGUAGCGGCGAGCGAAGCGGGAAAAGCUCAAAUUUGUAAUCUGGCGUCUACGACGUCCGAGUUGUAAUCUCGAGAAGUGUUUUCCGUGAUAGACCGCAUACAAGUCUCUUGGAACAGAGCGUCAUAGUGGUGAGAACCCAGUACACGAUGCGGAUGCCUAUUACUUUGUGAUACACUUUCGAAGAGUCGAGUUGUUUGGGAAUGCAGCUCAAAUUGGGUGGUAAAUUCCAUCUAAAGCUAAAUAUUGGCGAGAGACCGAUAGCGAACAAGUACCGUGAGGGAAAGAUGAAAAGCACUUUGGAAAGAGAGUUAACAGUACGUGAAAUUGUUGGAAGGGAAACACAUGCAGCCAGACUUGCUAUUCGGGGCAACUCGAUUGGCAGGCCCGCAUCAGUUUUUCGGGGCGGAAAAUCAUAGAGAGAAGGUAGCAAUUUCGGUUGUGUUAUAGCUCUUUAUUGGAUUCGCCCUGGGGGACUGAGGAACGCAGCGUGCUUUUAGCAUAAGCUUCGGCUUAUCCACGCUUAGGAUGCGGGUGUAAUGGCUGUAUAUGACCCGUCUUGAAACACGGACCAAGGAGUCUAACAUGCUUGCGAGUAUUUGGGUGUCAAACCCGGAUGCGCAAUGAAAGUGAAUGGAGGUGGGAAGCGCAAGCUGCACCAUCGACCGAUCUGGAUCUUUUGAGAUGGAUUUGAGUAAGAGCAAGUAUGUUGGGACCCGAAAGAUGGUGAACUAUGCCUGAAUAGGGCGAAGCCAGAGGAAACUCUGGUGGAGGCUCGUAGCGGUUCUGACGUGCAAAUCGAUCGUCAAAUUUGGGUAUAGGGGCGAAAGACUAAUCGAACCAUCUAGUAGCUGGUUCCUGCCGAAGUUUCCCUCAGGAUAGCAGAAACUCACAUCAGUUCUAUGAGGUAAAGCGAAUGAUUAGAGGCCUUGGGGUUGAAACAACCUUAACCUAUUCUCAAACUUUAAAUA
rnacentral:rRNA from 1 species